CACUACUUGCUUGUGGUUCUAGCAUCUCUUCUCCAAGUACCUCCCCCUUGCAUUUUUUUACUGUACUUGCAAUUGGUUCUGCACUCACAUUGUUGAAACUGCUGCCCUCUGAAAUCUCAGCUUCUGGUAUGUCUUCCCCUCACAUUGUUGGAUGACUGGUUUAGCUUGGAAUAAAAAAGAAAUAUCAACAUCUUGGUUGAAGUAGCACAGAACAUCAUCAUACUCAUGAAAUCAACUUCAGCCAUGAGCAUGUCAUCCAAACAAAUGGAAUAGGAGUGGCCAUGGAACUAGAGGAUUCAUUAUAUCCCUUUUGAGGGAGGUCAGUAUUAGCAUAGACCCUUAUGAUGUAUUUGAAGAUGUUUACUGGGCACUUUUGAUUGGAGCAAAACCUUGUGGGCCUGGAAUGGAACGAGCCAACUUAUUAGACUUAAAUGGGAAGAUUUUUGCAGAUCAGGCUCUGGACAAAAUUCGUUAAUGCACAGCCAGAGCUCUCCAUCAAUAUCAUUCCUGACAAGGCCAUCAACACUUUGACCAUCAUUGAUAGUGGCAUUGGCAUGACAAAAGCUGGAAUGCGGAUGUGGUUUUGUACCAUUAUGUUUGGAAUCUUGGGAUCAUUAUAUGCUAUGCUUGGUUACUUAAUUCUUCUCUAAUCUUAUUUUUCCAUAUUUGGUGAACAAUCUUGGUACUAUUGCAAGGUCUAGAACCAAAGAUUUCAUUGAAGCCCUUUCUGCGGGUGCCGAUGUUAGCACGAUUGGUCAAUUUGGUGUUGGAUUCUACUCAGCUUACUUGAUUGCUGAUAAAGUCAUUGUAACCUCAAAGCACAAUGAUGAUGAGUAGUAUGUCUGGGAGUCUCAAGCUGGUGGCUCUUUCAAAAUCACCAGAGACACCUCUAGCGAGGCUCUUGGCAGGGUUACAAAGAUUACCCUCUACCUUAAAGAAGACCAGCUUGAGUACCUUGAUGAAUGCUGACUGAAGGACUUGAUCAAGAAGCACUCCGAGUUCACCAGUUACCCAAUCUCUCUAUGGUGAAGAAGUGCAUUGAGCUUAUGCAGCCUAUAUUUCCAAAAAAAAAAAAUCCGUUCAAUUCAACGGGCAUGAUGGACGUGCCUUGCACGUCGCGAUGUACCUAGUAUCAUUAAAAGAAGCAAUUUAAUUUGU